rnacentral:SRP_RNA from 1 species
ACUGUGCUUAUGGCACGUGCAUGUAGUCUCAGCUAGCCAGGGAGCCUGGGACUAGAGGAUCACUUGAACCCAGGUGUUCUGAGCUAUAGUGUCCUAUGCCUAUCGAGUGUCUGCACUAAUCUGGGCAUCAAUAUGGUGACCCUCGCCCAGGAGCGGGGACCACCAGGUUGCCUAAGAGGGGGUGAAUCAGCCCAGAUUGGAAAUGAAGCAGGUCAAAACUCUUGUGCUGACCAGUAAAGGGAUUGCCUCUGUGAAUAGCCCCUGCACUCCAGCCUUGACAACACAGUGAAACUCCAGCUCU